rnacentral:lncRNA from 1 species
GACUUUAUGUUGUGUUGAAAUUUAAAUUUUUUAAAAUACCGUAAUUGAUUUUGACCCACCCCAAAUUAAAGUCUAUUAAGUAAAAGAGAAAAGUGAGAAAAAAAUAAUAACUAUUAAUUCACCUCUCACACUGCCAGUUUUUAGUCAUUCAGACUGAAAAUUAUUCAGUUCCACAGAUAUACAAACAAGAGCAGAAGAGAAGUAUUUUUUUUUUCUUUUUCUGAACUAUAGUUCAUCUCCAAAAUUUACUUCAAUCCGAUCUGCGCCUUUAACGAAACAAGAAGUCCCGAGUCCAUUUAAGAUGGCCAUUAGUACAUCUCAGGUGCUCUAGUGCUAUUGGCUAAGACGUUUAUUCAGUACCAUUAUCCAAUGAUUUAAAAAUCAGGACGAAUGGGCCGGUCUGACAGUGACCAAGUCUAUAAAAUAGUUCGAUUCAAUCAUUUGAACUAGAUAAGACAAAAAAUCAUUUUGAACCAUUCAAACCGGCAGUUCAACCAUCGAACCAAUUAACCGGUCCGAUUAAUCAAACCGGCCAGCCUAUUUUUUUUUUUUAUCAAGUCGUAUUAAAAUCUAAUGGCUUCUAUUAGCACAAAUUAGUCUUAUAAAAAGUAAAACUUAAAAACCUAU